GACGAACGCUGGCGGCGUGCUUAACACAUGCAAGUCGAACGGAAAGGCCCUGCUUUUGUGGGGUGCUCGAGUGGCGAACGGGUGAGUAACACGUGAGUAACCUGCCCUUGACUUUGGGAUAACUUCAGGAAACUGGGGCUAAUACCGGAUAGGAGCUCCUGCUGCAUGGUGGGGGUUGGAAAGUUUCGGCGGUUGGGGAUGGACUCGCGGCUUAUCAGCUUGUUGGUGGGGUAGUGGCUUACCAAGGCUUUGACGGGUAGCCGGCCUGAGAGGGUGACCGGCCAAAUUGGGACUGAGAUACGGCCCAGACUCAUACGGGAGGCAGCAGUGGGGAAUAGUGCACAAUGGGCGGAAGCAUGAUGCAGCAAAGCCGCGUGCGGGAUGAGGGCCUUCGGGUUGUAAACCGCUUUCGCCUGUGACGAAGCGUGAGUGACGGUAAUGGGUAAAGAAGCACCGGCUAACUACGUG
rnacentral:rRNA from 1 species